rnacentral:snRNA from 1 species
GUGCUCGCUUUGGCAGCACAUAUACUAAAAUUGGAACGAUACAGAGAAGAUUAGCAUGGCCUCUGCGCAAGGCUGACAUGCAAAUUUGUGAAGCAUUCCAUAUUUAA